rnacentral:tRNA from 3 species
GGUUUCCUGGUGUAAUGGCUAGCACGGCGGAUUCUGAUUCCGCCGAUCUGGGUUCGAUUCCCAGGGAGACCU